UCCCUAGUGGCUCAGAUGGUGAAGAAUCUGCCUGCAAUGCAGGAGACCUGGGUUUGAUCCCUGGCUUGGGAA
rnacentral:tRNA from 1 species